rnacentral:rRNA from 1 species
CUACGGGCGGCAGCAGUGGGGAAUAUUGGACAAUGGGGGAAACCCUGAUCCAGCAAUGCCGCGUGUGUGAAGAAGGCCUGCGGGUUGUAAAGCACUUUCGGUUGGGAGGACUGCUUCUAGCACUGAUAUUGUUGGAAGUUGACGUUACCUUCAGAAGAAGCACCGGCUAACUCCGUGCGCAGCAGCCGCGGUGAAUACGGAGGGUGCAAGCGUUAAUCGGAAUUACUGGGCGUAAAGCGCGCGUAGGCGGCUAGAUCAGUCGGGUGUGAAAGCCCCGGGCUUAACCUGGGAACUGCAUCCGAUACUGUCUAGCUUGAGUACAGGAGAGGAGAGUGGAAUUCCACAUGUAGCGGUGAAAUGCGUAGAUAUGUGGAGGAACACCAAUGGCGAAGGCAGCUCUCUGGCCUGAUACUGACGCUGAGGUGCGAAAGCGUGGGGAGCAAACAGGAUUAGAUACCCCGGUAGUC